rnacentral:rRNA from 1 species
UACAGAGGGCGCGAGCGUUGUCCGGAAUCACUGGGCGUAAAGGGCGCGUAGGUGGCGGCAUAAGGCCGUGGUGAAAGUCUGGGGCUCAACCCCAGAUCGGCCAUGGCGACUGUGUCGCUAGGGUACUGUAGAGGCAGGUGGAAUUCCGGGUGUAGCGGUGAAAUGCGUAGAGAUCGGGAGGAACAUCCGUGGCGAAGGCGACUACCUGGACCAGCACUGACACUGAGGCACGAAAGCGUGGGGAGCAAACAGG